rnacentral:sRNA from 1 species
CAUGCCCCUUAUACGCUGGGCUACACACGUGCUACAAUGGGUAGUACAGAGAGUCGCAAAGCCGUGAGGUGGAGCUAAUCUCAGAAAACUAUUCUUAGUUCGGAUUGUACUCUGCAACUCGAGUACAUGAAGUUGGAAUCGCUAGUAAUCGCAAAUCAGCUAUGUCGCGGUGAAUACGUUCUCGGGUCUUGUACACACCGCCCGUCACACCACGAGAGUUGGUUGCACCUGAAGUAGCAGGCCUAACCGUAAGGAGGGAUGCUCCGAGGGUGUGAUUAGCGAUUGGGGUGAAGUCGUAACAAGGUAUCCGUACGGGAACGUGCGGAUGGAUCACCUCCUUUCUAAGGAGAAAAGUCUUUCUCUAUUCUAUUGGUAAUGUUCUUUACAUUACUUCUGAACAUUGGAAACUAUAUAGUAGAACAAACAAGAAAAAAAUUAACUCUAACAAUUUCUUAGAGUUAGCUGUCAAAAAAUAGAUUAAAAUAAUUAAGGGCACACAAAGGAUGCCUAGGUAGUAAGAGCCGAUGAAGGACGUGGUAAGCUGCGAUAAGCCUAG